AUUCUGAGCUGACCGGGUAGCCAUGGCCUUGCGGCUCCUGAAGCUGGCAGCGACGUCCGCGUCCGCCCGGGUCGUGGCGGCGGGCGCCCAGCGCGUGAGAGGAGUUCAUAGCAGUGUGCAGUGCAAGCUGCGCUAUGGAAUGUGGCAUUUCCUGCUUGGGGAUAAAGCAAGCAAAAGACUGACAGAACGCAGCAGAGUGAUAACUGUAGAUGGCAAUAUAUGUACUGGAAAAGGCAAACUUGCAAAAGAAAUAGCAGAGAAACUAGGCUUCAAGCACUUUCCUGAAGCGGGGAUUCAUUAUCCAGACAGUACCACAGGAGAUGGGAAGCCCCUCGCCGCCGACUAUAAUGGCAACUGUAGUUUGGAGAAAUUUUACGAUGAUCCGAGAAGCAAUGAUGGCAACAGUUACCGCCUGCAGUCCUGGUUGUACAGCAGUCGCCUGCUGCAGUACUCGGAUGCCUUGGAGCACUUGCUGACCACAGGACAAGGUGUUGUGUUGGAGCGCUCCAUCUUCAGUGACUUUGUGUUCCUGGAGGCGAUGUACAACCAGGGAUUCAUCCGAAAGCAGUGUGUGGAUCACUACAACGAGGUGAAGAGCGUCACCAUCUGCGAUUACCUGCCCCCCCACCUGGUGAUUUACAUCGAUGUGCCCGUUCCAGAGGUCCAGAGGCGGAUUCAGAAGAAAGGAGAUGUAAUGCAGUUUUCAAUCAAAGGCCAAGCAUCUCUAUUUUGAAUGUAGAUCAGCACUAAAAGCCCUGUUUUAAUAGCAUUUAUACUAAUUCCUACCAGUCCUCACGAGGAGAGUGACACACACCCUGUUCCCACUUGAGAGAGGGCAUCUGCAGGGGUGGAGGGGAGACCCCAUGGCUCGGCCUGGUGCCACAGCCUGCGGGCCUGCCGCCCUCCAGUGCUCUGCAGUCCCACUGUGGUCCCCGAGUCCCCUCAGCUGUUUAAACUUGGGAGGCUGGGGAGGGCCUCCUGGCAGAGCGUCCUCCAUCCCUCUGUCACGUACCUUUCUGUUCUCUGAUGAGGUUUUUGUGUCCUAUUGUUUUCUUCCACAUUGGAAGCAAUUUCUAAUAUCCCUUGUCACUUCAAUCUAUUUAACGCAAAUCGUGCCUCUCCCCCUUUUUCUUACUUACCAAUUCUAGAACAGUAGAGCAGUGAUACCCACACACAUCCAUUUACUCUUUGUAGUUUUCAUUGGAUCUUAAUUAGGUGGCCUCGAAGCAACGCCUUUUGAAGUGACCCUGUGGCCGUCGGUAGCUCUGUUGGUGGCUUGAUGGAGGAUCCUGAGAUGAAACAAAGACCGUCUUUGCCCUAUGGCGAGUUCUUUGUUUUUUUUUUUUGAGACAGAAUCUCGCUCUGUCACCCAGGCUGGAGUGCAGUGGCACGAUCUCGGCUCACUGCAAGCUCCGCCUCCCGGGUUCACGCCAUUCUCCUGCCUCAGCCUCCCAAGUAGCUGGGACUACAGGCGCACGCCACCAUGCCCGGCUAAUUUUUUUUGUAUUUUUAGUAGAGACGGGGUUUCACUGCUUGUUUAAUACUAUGUUAUUUUUUCCUGGAGGAGAAUAUGGUCUCCUUUUUGAUACUGUGAUGAAAAUGCAGGGCUACCUGCCUGUUCCUCACUCUGAUGCCCAUCCUCAGUGCUGGAAUUCUUGUAGGUGCUCAGGAAAUACCUCUCUGGAUGGUGGGUUCUUGUCAGGGCAACAGUAAAGCUCUGGUUAUUUUUUGCUGCUCCUGAAAGAUCCAUGGGACUAACUUUCCUUCUCUGUUGCAAUAGUAGAAACAGCAAGAUGUCUAUGUAUGCCUUUCUAUUGCCACUCUGGAACUUGUAUUGUUUAAGCAUAUGCUUGUAAGUAUAUUGUAUAGCUAGACUUCUAAGAACCUUCCAUCAAGUGGCAAAAGGAGGGAACUACAAGUUCAAAAUGUUUGUUUCUCAGUGGACUAACUGGACACCUUUGCUUAUUAUGCUGACAUUUAUUGAGAAAAACAAAGUCAUACAUUUAACAUUCUCUAGAUAAUUCUUUUGUUAUCUGGGAAAACAGUAUUUCAAAAAUAAUUCUGAGGUCUAAAGUAGAGCUGUCAACUUUUUAAUUUUUCCAAGUAAAGUCUUCAAUACUGUCAUCAGCUAAAAUUACCCCAUUUUAUAAAAGACAUCACAUUAUCAGUAAGUCUGUGUUCUUAUUUUGAUUUUUAUUUCAAUGCAGUCUGUGUCUCAGUAUUGCACCUUUUGGGAAUAACUGAUAGGAAUAUCCGAAAACCAUUUCUAGAUUCUAAGAAAACAGUCAAAGUGAUCAAUAACUACAUAUUUUAUCAAGUAACUUCAGGUCAGAGUUCUGAGAUGGUUGUGUUAUGUUGCGUGUUACGGGCUUAUAUUACACUAGAGUUUCUUUUAUAAUCAGUUAACAUUUAAUCUUAUUCUACUUGGCACAUAGCUAAUGAUAGAGAUUUAGAAUCAUAUCACCUCUUUUAUACUUUUGUUGAUUUCACUCACUCCUCUAAUACAGAGCACCUCCUAUAUGCAAGGCGCCUGUGCCAGGCACCUAGGAGGCUGCAAAGAUGAACAAAGAUGGUCUCUGCCCAGACACCAAGUCCUUAUUGGAAAAUAGAACUCCCAAUUACUGCCUUUCCCCCUUUUGACAGAGCAAUGAAGUGCAGCAUUGCCUGUAUCAUCCUUUCCCUGUGCCCCGUCGCAUUACUAGAAUUAAUACAUGUUCAGUAAAUAUUUAUUCUUUGAAUGAUAGGGUUUUUCUUAUUUUGAACAGCUUUAAUGAGGUAUAAUUUAUGCUCCAUAAAAUUCACCCAUUUUAAGGGUACGACUGAAUGAUUUUGGGUAAAUUUACCAAGUUGUUUCCACUCUUGCCAUAAUCCAGUUUUAGAAUGUUUUCAUCAUUUUGUAGGUUGAAACCGCAGGCCUAUUCGUUUCUUUCUUCCUUCCUCUCUCUCCUGUAAGUGUUGAUUGAGCAUCCACCCUGUCCUAGACCCUGCUUGGUGCUAGGGAUAUACCAGUGAGCAGGGUGGAUGAGGUCCUCACCCGUGAGCUCAUAUGCUGAUGGGGGAGACCUACAGCAAGCAAGGAGAUAAAUAAUAAAUACAUCAAAUAGAGGUAAAUGAUGUGAAGAAAACAAAACGGGCUGAGAAGAUAGUGUGAAACUGUAAGGAGUUUUAAAUUUUAAAACUUGCUACUCAUAAUUAGAUUUUCAAGUUUCUGAAAUUGGCAUAGUGCAUUUCAGAUGAUGAGAGAGGUGACAGCCGUAGAAAGUGGGAGAAGUGGUUGCAGGGAGAUGGGUGAGCGAUGGAGGUGGCGAGCAAGUUGGAGAGAUGCAGGGAGAGCCAGGUGACAAGAAGAGAGUGUGCUGAGGACAGAUGGCAGACAGACAGGCCACUGCCCCCAAUUUUUGGUGCUCUUUCAUUCCUGCACUCAGGCACGAGGCAGACAGGAAAGACAGGCAGUGCUGCUUCGUAACAGGCAUCUUUCUUGCCCUAAGUAUACAUCUUAGAAUGUGUGGAGAAAGUCACGCUAUGGGAGCACUUGGGCAGGCUCAGGUGUUCACUGUAGUAGAAGGAGAAUGACUCUAGCUGAUGUUGGGACCCUUUACUGUCACCCCGCAGUCCCCACACUGCCCCGUGUGAGUUGUAAGAAAAUGGUGCUCAGUGAUUGUCUUCGCAUUUUAUAUACGCACAGGUCAAAGAGAAUGAACUCUAAAUGUUUCCCAGUUUGAUUUUUCUGCUUUUGUUUAGCCACAUGAAAUGAAGAUCACCUCUGCCUAUCUGCAGGACAUUGAGAAUGCCUAUAAGAAAACCUUUCUCCCUGAGAUGAGUGAAAAAUGUGAGGUUUUACAGUAUUCUGCAAGGGAAGCUCAAGAUUCAAAAAAGGCGGUAGAGGACAUUGAAUACCUGAAGUUCGAUAAAGGGCCGUGGCUCAAGCAGGACAAUCGCACUUUAUACCACCUGCGAUUACUGGUUCAGGAUAAGUUUGAGGUGCUGAAUUACACAAGCAUUCCUAUCUUUCUCCCGGAAGUCACCAUUGGAGCUCAUCAGACUGACCGUGUCUUACAUCAGUUCAGAGAGCUGCCGGGCCGCAAGUACAGCCCUGGGUACAACACCGAGGUGGGAGACAAGUGGAUCUGGCUGAAGUGAACGGGCCGCCUUCUGCUCCAGCUGCAUCACAGUGAUGGCCAAGCUGCAUCAGCCGCACUCUCCUGGACGCCAUAUAGCUUUAAGAUCGGGGGAGGGUAAAUAAUGCAAAAAUUGCACAGUGGAAGAAGGGGUCUCACAAAAAGCAAUCCAUCCUGUAGUAUAGGUAAUGGAGUUGGGGGAAGCAGCUUCCAUUCUGGAUGUUUGGAACCCUUUAGCUUUGUUUUGGAAUGGCCCACCAUUCUCACUGGAAAACAGUGGUCUGCUGUGAAAGGCCAGCUCUCGGCGGCCCCUGUGGUUUCAGCGCUGCCGCUCUGUGUCAUUCAGGUUGUGUACAUUGUUUUUCUUCCGACUUCCAGAAAUAAAAGUGUUUCCAUGGG
rnacentral:sRNA from 1 species